UCGGGGAGGACGCUUGAUGCGUGUGUGUGGAUGAAGAACGGUCGCGAUCCCAAGCAGCGAACCCGCCAGUGUGCUGUGUUUCUGCUCAGGAUAUUACUUAUCACUCAGGAUUAUAAGGACGUCACAUUUAGAAUUGAUCAUAUGGAUUUGUCUGUUGCCUUCAUCACUGGAGCAUUUUGAAACCGUUCUUCUCAGGACGCGCGCAUAGAGAGGAUUCAUCUCUCCAAUUAGUGGAGCCUGGAGAGAAGUAGUAGGCUACACAUGAGGCAAUUGUUGUUAUUUUUUAAACUGGAAUUUAUUAGCAUACAAAGUUUUUCUGGAUUCAAUACAACCUUUAUUGAUUGUUCUACUGGAUAGCCUGCUGUGUCAUGUUGUCUUUUAUGCGGAAUGUAUGUCAAGCUAGAGCGUUCGCAUUGACACCCAACUCCAGGACAAGAGAGGUCCGGUGCAGGGACUCCUAUGGUCGGACACAGACACACCGGUCAAUGGGUCUUUUGAGGAUAGCCUAUUUGCAGUGACCGAUGGCUGAAGUUCAGCGGUUACCAAUGGAAAUAAUACGCACAAUGCUGGAUCACUACGAUAUUGGAUGAUUUGCAGGAUGGUUUGAACAGUGCAAUGGGAUUGGAUAGGAUAUUUUUGUGGUGCAUUUUUGGGGAAUUGGUACCCAUAUUUUGGAUGUCUACGCGGAAUGGAUUAUCCCAUUACGCACUCCCAAAUGGAUUAUUACAUGACAGAAGGAAUCAAGAUUCCGGGAAUCGAGAAUGAGACGACUUCUGGUGGAUUCACAGGGCUUUUUGUGGUGAUACCAAGCACUAACAUCAGGCAGAAGCUACAUCGGUGGAAUAGAGAAGAUGGACAUUCAACAAGUAAGAAUGACACUGC